rnacentral:sRNA from 1 species
GCGAUCGGGGCUUGCUCUGAUCGCCAGUGGCGGACGGCUGAGUAACGCGUGGGUGACCUGCCCCGAAGUGGGGAAUAACGGCCCGAAAGGGUUGCUAAUACCGCAUGUGGCGACGUGUUCGGUCAUGUCAUCAAAGCCGUGAGGCGCUUCGGGAGGGGCCUGCGUCCGAUUAGCUCGUUGGUGGGGUAACGGCUCACCAAGGGGAAAAUCGGUAGGUGGUCUGAGAGGACGAUCACCCAGACUGUUUCUCCGACACGGCCGAGGCUCCUACGGGAUGCUCCUGUGGAUGAUUCUAGAAAUCUCCUAG